CUCGAAAGCUCCUCUGGCGAUGAAGGAACUUGGGGAAGCGAGAGUUAGCAGAGAUCCGUUUCUCCAUGCCAAAGAAAUCGAGCUCGACACUUGCUCUAGACAUUUCUGAUUAAAUCGAGAACGUUAUGAAGGUAGUAAAAAACGUAAAUGCGAAGGCGGGAGGAGAGGAGAAAGCGAAGGCACUUUAAUAAAGAGGGCUCUGUAACUGUACAUCAAAU
rnacentral:misc_RNA from 1 species